rnacentral:rRNA from 1 species
AUUGAACGCUGGCGGCAUGCCUAACACAUGCAAGUCGAACGAGUGGCGGACGGGUGAGUAAUGUCUGGGAAACUGCCUGAUGGAGGGGGAUAACUACUGGAAACGGUAGCUAAUACCGCAUACCAUCGGAUGUGCCCAGAUGGGAUUAGCUAGUAGGUGGGGUAACGGCUCACCUAGGCGACGAUCCCUAGCUGGUCUGAGAGGAUGACCGGCCACACUGGAACUGAGACACGGUCCAGACUUCUACGGGAGGCAGACGUGGGGAAUAUUGCACAAUGGGAGGAAGCCUGAUGCAGCCAUGCCGGGUGUAUGAAGAAGGCCUCCGGGUUGUAAAGUACUUUCAGCGGGGAGGCGUUACCCGCAGAAGAAGCACCGCCGAACCCCGUGCAAGCAGCCGCGGUAAAC